UGACCCCAGGUCAGGCGGGAUCACCCGAUGAGUUUAAGCAUAUCAAUAAGCGGAGGAAAAGAAACUAACAAGGAUUCCCUUAGUAACGGCGAGCGAACCAGGAAGAGCCCAGCUUGAAAAUCGGACAUCUUUGGCGUUCGAAUUGUAGUGUGGAGAAGCGUCCUCAGCGACGGACUGGGCCCAAGUUCCCUUGAAAGGGGCGCCAGAGAGGGUGAGAGCCCCGUCGAGCCCGGACCCUGUUGCACCACAUCGGGCGCUGUCUACGAGUCGGGUUGUUUGGGAAUGCAGCCCCAGUCGGGCGGUAAAUUCCGUCCAAGGCUAAAUAUGGGUGAGAGACCGAUAGCAAACAAGUACCGCAAGGUAAAGAUGAAAAGGACUUUGAAAAGAGAGACAAAGAGUUCUUGAAAUUGUCGGGAGGGAAGCGGAUGGGGGCCGGCGAUUCAUCCCAGUCGGAUGCGGAACGGAGCAAUCUGGUCUGCCGAUCGAUUCGGGCCGUGGUGACCUAAGCUCGGGCUUUUGUUACUCCCGCGGAGACGUCGCUGCCUUAAUCGUGGUCUGCAGCACACGCCUCACGGCAUGCCUUGACAUCUGCGUGCUCAGGGCGUCGGCCUGUGGGCUCCCCAUUCGACCCGUCUUGAAACACGGACCAAGGAGUCUGAUAUGUGUGCGAGUCAACGGGUGAGUAAGCCCAUAAAGCACAAGGAAGAUGAUUGGCUGGAUCCCUCAAGGGUGCACAGCCGACCGACCUUGAUCUUCUGAGAAGGGUUCGAGUGUGAGCAUGCCUGUCAGGACCCGAAAGAUGGUGAACUAUGACUGAGCGGGGCGAAGCCAGAGGAAACUCUGGUGGAGGCCCACAGCGAUACUGACGUGCAAAUUGUUCGUCUGACUUGGGUAUAGGGGUGAAAGACUAAUCGAACCAUCUAGUAGCUGGUUCCUUCUGAAGUUUCCCUCAGGAUAGCUGGAGCUGGGAAACAAGUUCUAUCGGGUAAAGCCAAUGAUUAGAGGCAUCGGAGACGCAAUGUCCUCGACCUAUUCUCAAACUUUAAAUAGGUAGGACGGGGUGGCUGCUUUGUUGAGCCAUCCCACGGAAUCGAGAGCUCCAAGUGGGCUAUUUUUGGUAAGCAGAACUGGCGAUGCGGGAUGAACCAGAAGCCGGGUUACGGGUGACCAACUACAAGCUAACCUAGAACCCACAAAGGGUGUUGGUGGAUUAAGACAGCAGGACUGUGACACCCCCGAUCAUAGAUAACUGGAACUGACACGGUCGAUGUUCCCUGAUGGUCGACCCGAGGUUCUCGAAAUAAAUUCGAUCGCCUUAGACCAACAACCAAAGAACACAGACGCUCCUAUCGGAUAUUACUCUAGGCUUUUCAACCCGAUAAAGAAAUAUUCGAUAGUUAGUUCGUCCCGGACAAGGACUAAUAUCAUAUGAGAACUCGUGAUUUAUAAACAUCUUUUAUACAUUAUUUAUUUACUUUAAACAUCUUACAAAGUGUUAUAGUUUUAUCAUAUGGCCUAUUGCCCAACAACGUUUUAAGUAAAUAUACAUCAAAAGGUACAUUAAAAGGACAACAAAAUACUACCGCUGGUUGGCUGUUCCUUCCGUCCAAAAAGUAAAGUGUCUCCCGCCUAAGGGUUACCUGCACACACGAAUGAGUCAUGAGCAACUAAUUUACUCAGUGAAUCUAGAAUCACAACACAAUCAAUAAUAAACCAAACAGUUAUCAAAUGUAUAUACAUGAUCAUGCAAGUACUAGUACUAUACUUUAAUAUCGAUCAUCAUUGUGAAUUCUUAUUUUAAACAUCACUUCCACAACACCCGCCCGUUACCAUACUCAUAUAAUACAAUAUAUAUAUAUACUAGACCCGAGAAACCACUAAGGCUAACCGAGACUAGUGAGUUAGCAUCACCAUCAUUGUCAAAUGUCUAAUAUGAACAAUCCGACACUGCAUCGUCAUGCAGUACACGGUCUCUAGGGAGCUACCCCAUCAUCGUGUCUUCAUGACCUUGUUCCGUUCGCAGGACCAAGUCACGGUAAUGCGGGGGCUUUAGGGCUAGUGAAUAUAACAAGACUUCACAUGAUUUUACUUCCAUAAUUAUUCCAAAAUUAAUCCAUAAUUAAUCCUUAAUUAAUCAUAAUUAACUCUAGAUUAAUCCUUAAUUAAUCUCAUAUUAAUCUUUAAUUAAUCCAAGAUUAGUGCUUAAUUAAUCAUGAUUACUCCUUAAUUAAACUCAGAUUAAUUCUCAAUUAAACCAAGAUUAAUUCUUUAUUAAACCAAGAUUAAUCCAUAAUCAAAACCAUGCUUAUUUCAUAAUUAAGAUUAGUACUUGAGAACAAGUACUAUGCUUAUGAUUAACCUCACUUUAACCUUUCGAUUAAUCCUCAAGUGUAAGUGUUUACACUUAGUAAACACCAUACACUUCUUAAAGGAUUCAAAGACUUUACUAUGAGAUACUACAAUUUAAAGUCAUUCAUGUACUCAUUCAUGAUCUAUCUCA
rnacentral:rRNA from 1 species